rnacentral:sRNA from 1 species
GGCAGCCGGGCCUGGCUCGAGAUGCCGAAGUCGUGCGCGGCCCGGCAGUGCUGCAACCGCUACAGCAGCCGCAGGAAGCAGCUCACCUUCCACCGCAGGUGAGGGAGAACACAGACCCUGCCAAUGAGAGAGGAAAUGCCAGCUCUUCUCAGAAAGAAAAGGUCCUCCCUGAGGCGGGGGCCGGAGAGGACAGUCCUGGGAGAAACAUGGACACUGCACUUGAAGAGCUUCAGUUGCCCCCAAAUGCCGAAGGCCACGUAAAACAGGUCUCGCCACGGAGGCCGCAAGCAACAGAGGCUGUUGGCCGGCCGACUGGCCCUGCAGGCCUGAGAAGGCCCCCCAGCAAGCAGCCAUCUGAUCACAGCUAUGCCCUUUUGGACUUAGAUUCCCUGAAGAAAAAACUCUUCCUCACUCUGAAGGAAAAUGAAAAGCUCCGGAAGCGCUUGCAGGCCCAGAGGCUAGUGAUGCGAAGGAUGUCCAGCCGCCUCCGUGCCUGCAAAGGGCACCAGGGACUCCAGGCCAGACUUGGGCCAGAGCAGCAGAGCUGAGCCCCACAGGCUCCGGACGCAGAGGUGGCAGUGGCACCAGGGCCGGCAGAGCUUUGGAGCUCUGGCUGUGGACAUUUUUGUCUGCUGUGGACACUGAGAAAGUUGGCCAUGAGGCCUGUUUGGCCGGGGAUCGAGACAGUAGCCAAGCUCCCCGGCGAGAGCCCGAUGCUGUCUGCGGGACGUUUAGAGGCGUGG